UAUCCUGGUUUCUCUUCAGAUCAUAUAAAUCUUGUGCCUUUUACGAAAGAUUCCCAUGAAGAGGAACAACUCUGAGACUUAAACCAAUUUUUCAGUCUUGGUGCUUUGUAUAAAGG
ensembl:snRNA U5 U5 spliceosomal RNA